GACGAACGCUGGCGGCGUGCUUAACACAUGCAAGUCGAGCGGAAGGACGCCGUUUGGGGUACUCUACUGGCGAACACGGGAGUAACACGUGAGUAACCUGCCCUUGACUUCGGGAUAACUUCAGGAAACUGGGCGUAAUACCGGAUAGGAAUCCUUGCUGCAUGGUGGGGGUUGGAAAGCUUCGGCGGUUUUGGAUGGACUCGCGGCUUAUCAGCUUGUUGGUGGGGUAGUGGCUUACCAAGGCGUUGACGGGUAGCCGGCCUGAGAGGGCGACCGGCCACAUUGGGAAUGAGAUACGGGCAAGACUCAUACGGGAGGCAGCAGUGGGGAAUAUUGGACAAUGGGAGGAAGCCUGAUGGAGAAACGCCGCGUGCGGGAUGACGGCCUUAGGGUUGUAAAACGCUUUCAGCAGGGGCGAAGCUUGUGGUGACGGUACCUGAAGAAGAAGCACCGGCUAACUACGUG
rnacentral:rRNA from 1 species